GUUGCCGAGUCCCCAGUACGACCUGGGAGUGGGCGGAGCGAACAGUAUUAGGAAAAGAUGGAAGCUAAAAAGGACAAAUAAUGGAGAUAAUGCAACAAAAGCAGAGCAUGCUAGCAUGUAGCAGAAAGACCUGCAACGUAUUGCUUCUUGCUUGCAUGCAUAUUGGAUGUAAAUAAUGUUACAACAUAAAAAAA